CUGCUUUCACUGAGAGAGACAGACGACAUGUAUCCAAAAUCAUCUGCAACAAUGUUUUUGCCCCAUCAGGCAUUGGGAGCUUAACCCAGAAUUCCAAUGGACAGUGGGGACUGUGGAUAGCUACCCACAGUGCACCACUCUGUGAGUUGAUGCUAGUCAUGGUAUUGAGGA